rfam:Gossypium raimondii Chr07_contig_1230, whole genome shotgun sequence.
AAUAAGAGAAUGAUAAAUCAGAUUUUUCUUUCUGAUUUUUAGCUUUUUAUUCAUGAAAAACAAAAUUUAAAUCCAACUAAAAAUGCUAAAAAUCAAGAGGCAAAAUCUGAUUUGUCAUUCUCUUAUU